rnacentral:lncRNA from 1 species
GGAAACUGCUAAGGCUGUGACAGCUAUCUUUUUUGUUUGUUUUGCAUUUAAUCCAUACUGAAUCAAUGGUUUCAUAAAUUCUGAUGAGAAGCUUCAUACUGAAACUGCUGAGUGAUAGAACUUGGAGCCAUGGUCACUGGUGUGUAGGAUGCUACUGUUAGUUUGGAGGAGAGGCUUUUCUUCCUCAAAAUGCUUUUUCUUUUCUUUUCUUUUCUUUUAUAGGAAUUAACAUAGUGGUUUCCUUCUAGAUUUUUCCUGUCCUGUAGAAUAAGGAAAAAAAAAAGGGCUUUCACAGUACACUGUAGAAAAACUCAGUUUAAGCUGGUACACACAUGUGAAGAUCAAUGACAAUGAAAUGCUCUUGAAAACACAAGCAAUUUCUUAAUCAAAGGAGAUUACCAACCACAGCUAGAAGCAACUUGAUACGCAAUUAAAUAAAUGUGUGUUGGGUACAGCAUGGGUGGUUUCUCCCUGGGGGCUGAGGGCUGGGAGUGGUGGUGCUGGGCAUCUCCCUGGGGGCUUGAACAGGCUGAGGCCACGCUGGGCAGGGCCCAUGGCCAGUCAGGGCUGGGUGUGGGGAGCUGGAUGCAGUCCUGCUAUGGCCUCAGCAGGAUAAGGGCUGACAGCCCUGGGUUUGACAUGGCAUUGUGGGCUUUUAGGACCCUGGCAAUAAAUUGAAUGGAACUGCAAUUGUGGAGAAAAUUUCUGAGAGUAACUGGGUAAAAUAAAGGCAUAGAAUUCAUACAAGUGUCCACAUAUGAGACAAAAUGUCACCAGUAUGAUCAAGUAGGCGUUGGUAAGAAGGGAAAUUUUAUCAAAGAUCUUGUUAGAGUAUAUUAGCUAACAUACCAAAGAAGCUUUCUUCAUGCUAAAUUUGGUUCUCCAAUCAAUGGUGUAAUUUGCUCCACCAGGGAGAAAGGGAUACUGUAAAUGAAAGUGAAGAGCUGAGUGAGAGGGUUUCUGCAAAACAGAUAUACAGAGAAUCAAUAGCUUCACAGUACUUCAUUGAGAGCAAUAAGCGAAUAUUAACUGAUUUACAUUUAUUCAUUUAAAUUGUAAUUUUUACAGAUCUCAUCUUUUGAUGUCAUACACUAAUGCACUUAGUGCAUGCGAUUGGUACCCUACAUGACUGGCAUGUAAAAUCAGAGAAGGGACAGAGUAGUCCAAGGUGCAUCCUGCUGUGCAAGAGGUGGGAUGUUUUUGCAGCCCGGUUAGGUGAAAGGUGCCAAUGGAGCAGCAAAACUUCUGCUUUGGUUAUCUCAGUGGGUAGUUAGGAGCAGUUUUGGUGUGUUUGUGUGAUCUCUGUGGGUGAAAUCUUACCUAAGCAGCAGGAAAACUGAGUGCAUGUGACAGAGCAUUGGCAUAUGCUGCUUAGAGAGGGUGUGGAAUUUCAUCUUGGAGAUCCUCAAAACUGACCAUGGUCCUGAGCACCCUGCUCUGGGCAUCUCUGCUCAAGCAGAGAUUGGGCCACGUGACUUUCAGAGGUCCCUGCUGACCUCCACCACUGUGAUUUUGUGAUUCAGUGAAAUACCAGAAUGAUUCAAGUCUGUGGCAGAAUCCCAUAGACUUGUCAUUAGCACAGUUUU